CCUACGGGUGGCAGCAGUAGGGAAUAUUGCUCAAUGGGGGAAACCCUGAAGCAGCAACGCCGCGUGGAGGAUGAAGGUUUUCGGAUUGUAAACUCCUUUUGGUAGAGAAGAGAAGGACGGUAGCUAAAGAAUAAGCACCGGCGAACUCCGUGCCAGCAGCCGCGGUAAUACGGAGGGUGCAAGCGUUACUCGGAAUCACGGGGCGUAACGAGCGCGUAGGCGGGAUAGCCAGUCAGAUGGGAAAUCCUAUGGCUUAACCAUAGAACUGCAUUUGAAACUGUUAUUCUAGCGUAUGGGAGAGGUAGGUGGUAUUCUUGGUGUAGGGGUCAACUCCGU
rnacentral:rRNA from 1 species